UCAUCCAUCAUCAUAUAGCUUAGCCUUUCAGGUAUUUGCUGGGAGGUCUAUUGAAUCCUUCUAGCGGCGCAGACACACUCUAAACCCCCGGAAGGCAUCUUUCGGGGGUUUUUC
rfam:Paraglaciecola psychrophila 170 chromosome, complete genome.